UACGUAGGGGGCGAGCGUUGUCCGGAAUUAUUGGGCGUAAAGAGCGUGUAGGCGGUUCGGUAAGUCCGCCGUGAAAACCUGGGGCUCAACCCUGGGCGUGCGGUGGAUACUGCUGGGCUAGAGGAUGGUAGAGGCGAGUGGAAUUCCCGGUGUAGCGGUGAAAUGCGCAGAUAUCGGGAGGAACACCAGUAGCGAAGGCGGCUCGCUGGGCCAUUCCUGACGCUGAGGAGCGAAAGCGUGGGUAGCGAACAGG
rnacentral:rRNA from 1 species